GUUCUAACGUGGGCCCGUUACCCGGGUUGCGGACAGUGUCUGGUGGGUAGUUUGACUGGGGCGGUCUCCUCCUAAAGAGUAACGGAGGAGCACGAAGGUUGGCUAAUCCUGGUCGGACAUCAGGAGGUUAGUGCAAUGGCAUAAGCCAGCUUGACUGCGAGCGUGACGGCGCGAGCAGGUGCGAAAGCAGGUCAUAGUGAUCCGGUGGUUCUGAAUGGAAGGGCCAUCGCUCAACGGAUAAAAGGUACUCCGGGGAUAACAGGCUGAUACCGCCCAAGAGUUCAUAUCGACGGCGGUGUUUGGCACCUCGAUGUCGGCUCAUCACAUCCUGGGGCUGAAGUAGGUCCCAAGGGUAUGGCUGUUCGCCAUUUAAAGUGGUACGCGAGCUGGGUUUAGAACGUCGUGAGACAGUUCGGUCCCUAUCUGCCGUGGGCGCUGGAGAACUGAGGGGGGCUGCUCCUAGUACGAGAGGACCGGAGUGGACGCAUCACUGGUGUUCGGGUUGUCAUGCCAAUGGCACUGCCCGGUAGCUAAAUGCGGAAGAGAUAAGUGCUGAAAGCAUCUAAGCACGAAACUUGCCCCGAGAUGAGUUCUCCCUGAGACUUAGAGUCUCCUGAAGGAACGUUGAAGACGACGACGUUGAUAGGCCGGGUGUGUAAGCGCAGCGAUGCGUUGAGCUAACCGGUACUAAUGAACCGUGAGGCUUAACCUUACA
rnacentral:rRNA from 1 species